rnacentral:lncRNA from 1 species
AAAAGGAAAAAGGGGUAGAAUCCCGUGGGAAAGACCCACCCACGUGGGCAUCGCACGACGUGUGCACAAGUGCGUGCAUGCAGCCAACAUAAGACAUGCGAACUGUGCUUAUGUCUCGUCCGUGUGGGGUGGGAGGCCAGUCUGUGCGUGUUCCAUCAUGUGCAGAAAGGCCAGUCCACGUGCGUCACAUCACUCAUAGAUAGGGCCAGGCGUCGUGCGCCCUAAGCAUGCGCCGUCCAUGUAGUAGGCUUGCGCGCUUCGCCUUGCACACUGUAAAACAUGUGCGCAUCGCCCUGCACGUGGCAGGAUUGAUCCGCACCUGCAGACUAGGCCUGCAACAUGCGACAGUAUAGGCUGGCACCUACAGCUAGGCCUGUAGAACGCGACCGGCUUGGGGAGGCACGCUGCUGCCUUGGGCAGUGUGCCACCACCCUUUGGGCAUUGUGUGCUACCUUGG